CACACCCGUUCCCAUACCGAACACGGAAGUUAAGCUCUCUAGCGCCGAUGGUAGUUGGGACCUUGUCCCUGUGAGAGUAGGACGUCGCCAAGCU
rnacentral:rRNA from 1 species